GAUGAACGCUGGCGGCGUGCCUAAUACAUGCCAGUCGAGCGAACAGAUAAGGAGCUUGCUCCUUUGACGUUAGCGGCGGACGGGUGAGUAACACGUGGGUAACCUACCUAUAGGACUGGAAUAACUCCGGGAAACCGGGGCUAAUGCCGGAUAACAUUUAGAACCGCAUGGUUCUAAAGUGAAAGAUGGUUUUGCUAUCACUUAUAGAUGGACCCGCGCCGUAUUAGCUAGUUGGUAAGGUAACGGCUUACCAAGGCAACGAUACGUAGCCGACCUGAGAGGGUGAUCGGCCACACUGGAACUGAGACACGGUCCAGACUCCUACGGGAGGCAGCAGUAGGGAAUCUUCCGCAAUGGGCGAAAGCCUGACGGAGCAACGCCGCGUGAGUGAUGAAGGUCUUCGGAUCGUAAAACUCUGUUAUUAGGGAAGAACAAAUGUGUAAGUAACUGUGCACGUCUUGACGGUACCUAAUCAGAAAGCCACGGCUAACUACGUG
rnacentral:rRNA from 1 species